rnacentral:rRNA from 1 species
CGCCUUGCCAGCCCGCUCAGAAACUACAAGGAAGUUGACGGGGCCCGCACAAGCGGAGGAGCAUGUGGUUUAAUUCGAUGAUACGCGAGGAACCUUACCUGGGCUCGAACGUAAGAUGACUGUAGGUGAAAGCUUACAUCUCUUCGGAGCAUUUUACGAGGUGCUGCAUGGUUGUCGUCAGCUCGUGCCGUGAGGUGUCGGGUUAAGUCCCAUAACGAGCGCAACCCCUACCUUUAGUUGCCAUCAGGUUAAGCUGGGGACUCUAAAGGAACUGCCUACGCAAGUAGUGAGGAAGGCGGGGAUGACGUCAAAUCAGCACGGCCCUUACGUCCAGGGCUACACACGUGCUACAAUGGCCGAUACAGAGGGCAGCUACCUGGUGACAGGAUGCAAAUCUCCAAAGUCGGUCUCAGUUCGGAUCGGAGUCUGCAACCCGACUCCGUGAAGUUGGAUUCGCUAGUAAUCGCGCAUCAGCCAUGGCGCGGUGAAUACGUUCCCGGGCCUU